rnacentral:rRNA from 1 species
UACGUAGGGGGCAAGCGUUGUCCGGAAUCAUUGGGCGUAAAGCGCGUGUAGGCGGCCAGGUAAGUCCGUUCUGAAAGCCCGGGGCUCAACCCCGGGAGGCGGAUGGAUACUGCUUGGCUCGAGUCCGGAAGAGGCGAGUGGAAUUCCCGGUGUAGCGGUGAAAUGCGCAGAUAUCGGGAGGAACACCUGUGGCGAAAGCGGCUCACUGGACCAUAACUGACGCUGAUGCACGAAAAGCUGGGGGGAGCAAACAGG